UGAGGGAAAGGUGAAAAGUACCCUGAAUAAGGGAGUGAAAUAGUACCUGAAACCGUGUGCUUACAAGCGGUCGGAGCUUCUUCGUGAAGUGACGGCGUGCCUUUUGCAUAAUGAUCCUACGAGUUGCUCCUCACUAGCGAGGUUAAGGGCUGAAGGCCCGGAGCCGAAGCGAAAGCGAGUCUGAAUAGGGCGUAUAGUUAGUGGGGGCAGACGCGAAACCUAGUGAUCUACCCAUGGCCAGGGUGAAGCUUUGGUAACACAAAGUGGAGGCCCGAACCCGUUGACGUUGAAAAGUCUUGGGAUGAGCUGUGGGUAGGGGUGAAAGGCUAAUCAAACUGGGAAAUAGCUCGUACUCCCCGAAAUGUAUUUAGGUACAGCCUUGAGUGUAGUGUAUUAGAGGUAGAGCUACUGGUUGGAUGCGGGGGCUUCACCGCCUACCAAGUCCUGUCAAACUCCGAAUGCUAAUACAUGUUCCUCAGGAGUGAGGGCCGGGGUGCUAAGGUCACGGUCCGAGAGGGAAACAACCCAGAUCAUCUGCUAAGGUCCCAAAAUAUAUGCUAAGUUGAACAAACGAGGUCGGGCUGCUUUGACAGCUAGGAUGUUGGCUUGGAAGCAGCCAUUCAUUUAAAGAGUGCGUAACAGCUCACUAGUCGAGCGGCCUGGCAUGGACAAUAAUCGGGCAUUAAGCAUAUUACCGAAGCAAUGGGCUCGUAAGAGCGGUAGGGGAGCAUUCUGGUUGCGCCGAAGGUUGACCGUAAGGUUGGCUGGAGCGGCCAGAAAAGAAAAUGUAGGAAUAAGUAACGAUAAUGCAGGUGAGAAACCUGCACACCGUAAACCCAAGGUUUCCUCAGCAAUGCUAAUCAGCUGAGGGUUAGUCGGGACCUAAGGCGAACCCGAACGGGGUAGUCGAUGGAUAACUGGUUAAUAUUCCAGUACUCGCUUUAACUGCGAUGGGGUAACGAAGGUGUGACAGCUCCGCGUACUGACGGAAUAGUACGUUGAAGCCCGUAGGUAUAGGUUGGAUAGGCAAAUCCGUCCGACUUGCUGAAAGGUGAUAGUACUCCAAGGCUUCGGCUGCGGAGAUAGUGAGUGUAAUCAGACUUCCAAGAAAAACCUCUAAGCUUCAGGUUAAAGCGACUCGUACCGUAAACCGACACAGGUGGGUGAGGAGAGUAUCCUCAGGUGCUCGAGUGAAUCAUGGCUAAGGAACUAGGCAAAAUCGCCCCGUAACUUCGGGAGAAGGGGCGCCUCCGCGAGGAGGCCGCAGUGAAUAGGCCCAGGCGACUGUUUAGCAAAAACACAGGACUCUGCUAAAUCGAAAGAUGAUGUAUAGGGUCUGACACCUGCCCGGUGCUGGAAGGUUAAGAGGAGGCGUCAUCGCAAGAGAAGCGCUGAAUUGAAGCCCCAGUAAACGGCGGCCGUAACUAUAACGGUCCUAAGGUAGCGAAAUUCCUUGUCGGGUAAGUUCC
rnacentral:rRNA from 1 species